rnacentral:rRNA from 1 species
UACGUAGGGUGCAAGCGUUAAUCGGAAUUACUGGGCGUAAAGCGUGCGCAGGCGGUUCGGAAAGAAAGAUGUGAAAUCCCAGGGCUUAACCUUGGAAUGGCAUUUUUAACUACCGGGCUAGAGUAUGUCAGAGGGGGGUAGAAUUCCACGUGUAGCAGUGAAAUGCGUAGAGAUGUGGAGGAAUACCGAUGGCGAAGGCAGCCCCCUGGGAUGAUACUGACGCUCAUGCACGAAAGCGUGGGGAGCAAACAGG